rnacentral:rRNA from 1 species
GUUGUAUAGUUAAGUGACUAAGCGUACAAGGUGGAUGCCUUGGCAAUCAGAGGCGAAGAAGGACGUGCUAAUCUGCGAAAAGCUUGGAUGAGUCGAUAAGAGGCGUUUAAUCCAAGAUAUCCGAAUGGGGAAACCCAGUAGAUGAAGAAUCUACUAUCAACAAGUGAAUUCAUAGCUUGUUGAGGCAAACCGGGAGAACUGAAACAUCUAAGUACCCCGAGGAAAAGAAAUCAACCGAGAUUUCGUCAGUAGCGGCGAGCGAAAGCGAAAGAGCCAGUAAGUGAUAGCAGUAUAGUGAGGAGAAUGUGUUGGGAAACACAAUCAAAGAGGGUGAUAAUCCCGUAUCUAAAAACCAUAUUGUGGUACUAAGCUAACGAGAAGUAGGGCGGGACACGUGAUAUCCUGUUUGAAGAAGGGGGGACCAUCCUCCAAGGCUAAAUACUCCUGAUUGACCGAUAGUGAACCAGUACUGUGAAGGAAAGGCGAAAAGAACCCCGGUGAGGGGAGUGAAAUAGAACCUGAAACCUUGUACGUACAAGCAGUGGGAGCCCCAUCACUUAAUCCGAUUGGAAGGUGAUGAAAAGCAACCGCACUUAAACAAUGGUAAGAGGAGCGAAGCGAGUCAAACCACCCAAAAGAAGCAGUGGGAUUAAGUGAUGGGGUGACUGCGUACCUUUUGUAUAAUGGGUCAGCGACUUAUAUUUUGUAGCGAGGUUAACCGAAUAGGGGAGCCGAAGGGAAACCGAGUCUUAACUGGGCGAAUAGUUGCAAGGUAUAGACCCGAAACCCGGUGAUCUAGCCAUGGGCAGGUUGAAGGUUGGGUAACACUAACUGGAGGACCGAACCGACUAAUGUUGAAAAAUUAGCGGAUGACUUGUGGCUGGGGGUGAAAGGCCAAUCAAACCGGGAGAUAGCUGGUUCUCCCCGAAAUCUAUUUAGGUAGAGCCUUGAGGUGACACCUUUGGGGGUAGAGCACUGUUUCGGCUAGGGGGCCAUCCCGGCUUACCAACCCGAUGCAAACUACGAAUACCAAAGAGUGAUACUCAGGAGACACACGGCGGGUGCUAACGUCCGUCGUGGAGAGGGAAACAACCCAGACCGCCAGCUAAGGUCCCCAAGUCUAUAUUAAGUGGGAAACGAAGUGGGAAGGCUUAGACAGCUAGGAUGUUGGCUUAGAAGCAGCCAUCAUUUAAAGAAAGCGUAAUAGCUCACUAGUCGAGUCGGCCUGCGCGGAAGAUGUAACGGGGCUGAAAUAUAGCACCGAAGCUGCGGCAUCAGAAUUUAUUCUGUUGGGUAGGGGAGCGUUGUGUAAGCGGAAGAAGGUUCAUCGAGAGGUGGGCUGGACGUAUCACAAGUGCGAAUGCUGACAUAAGUAACGAUAAAACGGGUGAAAAACCCGUUCGCCGGAAGACCAAGGGUUCCUGUCCAACGUUAAUCGGGGCAGGGUGAGUCGGCUCCUAAGGCGAGGCUGAAAAGCGUAGUCGAUGGGAAACAGGUUAAUAUUCCUGUACUUGGUAAAGCUGCGAUGUGGGGACGGAGUAGGUUAGGUUAUCGCACUGUUGGAUAUGUGCGUUUAAGUUGGUAGGUGGGAAGUUUAGGCAAAUCCGGACUUCCUUAACACAGAGAGAUGAUGACGAGGCUCUACGGAGCUGAAGUAACUGAUACCACACUUCCAGGAAAAGCCACUAAGCGAAAGGCUUUACUAAACCGUACUGAAAACCGACACAGGUGGUCAGGUAGAGAAUACUCAGGCGCUUGAGAGAACUCGGGUGAAGGAACUAGGCAAAAUAGCACCGUAACUUCGGGAGAAGGUGCGCCGGCGUAGAUUGUAGUCCCUAGCGGGCGAAGGUUGAACCGGUCGAAGAUACCAGCUGGCUGCAACUGUUUAUUAAAAACACAGCACUCUGCAAACACGAAAGUGGACGUAUAGGGUGUGAUGCCUGCCCGGUGCUGGAAGGUUAAUUGAUGGUGUCAUCGCAAGAGAAGCACCUGAUCGAAGCCCCAGUAAACGGCGGCCGUAACUAUAACGGUCCUAAGGUAGCGAAAUUCCUUGUCGGGUAAGUUCCGACCUGCACGAAUGGCAUAAUGAUGGCCAGGCUGUCUCCACCC